rnacentral:tRNA from 1 species
AUGAAUUUAGUUAAAAAAAUAACAUUAAAUUGUCUAUUUAAAAUUAUUCAAUAAUAAUUCAUA